CGUUAUCAUCCAGCGGUUAGGAUAUCUGGCUUUCACCCAGGAAACCCGAGUUCGAUUCUCAGUAACG
rfam:Nicotiana sylvestris Nsyl_contig80945, whole genome shotgun sequence.